UACGAAGGGGGCUAGCGUUGCUCGGAAUCACUGGGCGUAAAGGGCGCGUAGGCGGCCGUUCAAGUCGGGGGUGAAAGCCUGUGGCUCAACCACAGAAUUGCCUUCGAUACUGUACGGCUCGAGACCGGAAGAGGUGAGUGGAACUGCGAGUGUAGAGGUGAAAUUCGUAGAUAUUCGGAAGAACACCAGUGGCGAAGGCGACUGACUGGACAAGUAUUGACGCUGAGGUACGAAAGCGUGGGGAGCAAACAGG
rnacentral:rRNA from 1 species